CCCCGGCCCCACCAGAGGGCAUCAGCUAUGCCUAGGGGACCACAACAGACUCGACAGGAUCCACCGGUUGGGCCCAAGGCAGGAGGAAGGGCGGCGCCCCCAAACUCCCAGGACGCCUGCAGCACCCCCCACGCGCCGCUCUCCGCCUCUGGGGAGCAUCCUGCCACCCCCCGACACACACACCCCGGCUACAUCCCGCCUUCUCACGCUUGGUCAGGCGCUCUGGAGAUGUCGGAGAUCCAGGCUUUUCCUAAAGAGUCAGGAUUGGAAGGCGGACUCCCACCGUUUGCUGAGCUCCACAUGACAACAGCAGACGACAGGCCGCACUGAUCCCACCUGGCUUACAGGUGCUGUCACACAGGACUGCUGACUAAACACUUUCAAGCACAGUGGACCCUUGAACAACGCAGGUUCAAACUGUGCAGGUCCACCCACAGGGAUGUUUUUCAAUCAGAGUUAUACCAAGUGUCCCUGCCUCUCCUGCCUCCCUUCCCACUUCCUCCAUGUCUUCCUCUCUGCCACCCUGAGGCAGCAAGACCAGCCCCUCCUCCUCAGCCACUCAACAUGAAGACAACGAGGAUGAAGACUUCUAUGAUAAUCCACUUCCACUUAGUAAAUGCUUUCUCUUAUGAUAUUCUUAAUGACAUUUUAUUUUCCCAAGCUUAGUUUAUUGUAAGAAUACAGUAUAAAUACACAUACAAAGUACGUGUUAACU
rnacentral:lncRNA from 1 species